rnacentral:rRNA from 1 species
GAUGGACGCUGGCGGCGUGCCUAAUACAUGCAAGUCGAGCGAACGGACGAGAAGCUUGCUUCUCUGAUGUUAGCGGCGGACGGGUGAGUAACACGUGGAUAACCUACCUAUAAGACUGGGAUAACUUCGGGAAACCGGAGCUAAUACCGGAUAAUAUAUUGAACCGCAUGGUUCAAUAGUGAAAGACGGUUUUGCUGUCACUUAUGGAUGGAUCCGCGCCGCAUUAGCUAGUUGGUAAGGUAACGGCUUACCAAGGCAACGAUGCGUAGCCGACCUGAGAGGGUGAUCGGCCACACUGGAACUGAGACACGGUCCAGACCCCUACGGGAGGCAGCAGUAGGGAAUCUUCCGCAAUGGGCGAAAGCUUGACGGAGCAACGCCGCGUGAGUGAUGAAGGUCUUCGGAUCGUAAAACUCUGUUAUUAGGGAAGAACAAAUGUGUAAGUAACUAUGCACGUCUUGACGGUACCUAAUCAGAAAGCCACGGCUAACUACGUG